CGAUCUGCGCCUCACGUCGGAUUCUCCGCCCGCACCCUCUCGCUUGGGGGUGCGUUCAGUCAGCUCCGAGCCGCGAGUGGGGUAAGUUGCGCUGCGCGCCGGCUCGCUGGCCCUUCGCUGAACGAAGCACAUAACGCCGCCCCGCGCGCACCUCACAUUCUCGUCCGCUGAUAACGAGAAACACGACCCCUGAACGAUCGGCGCAUCGUCGCGCGCCGAUUCAACCGGCGCGACGCGACGCGAUCGCGAGAACGAGAACGCGGGUGAAUGUAUCGUGAACACGAGCGCGUUUCGUGAGCCUUCUUCCUUACAGUUGCUCUCGCGUGUAAUUUUUCUCUCGCGGAGAAAUAUAUAUCACGCGCGGAGGAAUCUUCGCCCCUACUUAUGACGACGACGAAAGAGAACGAUACCGGUGGUAGAGUCGCGCGUCGCAUGUGAACGCGAGCGGAAGGCUUCGUCAUGCUCAGGGCUGAGAAAAUGUCACCGUGAUGUUACACCGAAGCGCUUCGUCGCGACGCCGGCGAGCGUCGCCAAGCGUGGCAAACUCGAGCCAGCCGGCAGGGAUAUCUUUGACGAUGCGAGGUCGACGAGCGAGCGUCGCAACCGAGAAGCCCCUGAUCCUGCCGCCAACUAGCUCCGGCGGAACGAUGGAAAGACAGCGAUCACCGAGGGGUAGCAUGGUGCCGAAUAUCGCUCUGGAUACUGACAGCGGUUCUCCCGACGAAGGAAUCUGUCGCAGAAUUCUGCCGGAUCCCGAGCAGUACGGCACCGGUCGUAACUCUCUGGCACCCGAGGCGAGCCGCAGUCCGCGAAACUCUCUAAUACCUGACGAUUACUGCAGAAGCCCGCGGGGUUCCCUAAUACCAGACUCCAAUAGAAGUCCGCGCAACAGUCUGAUACCUGAUGUGGUGCGAUCACCGCGGAACAGUCUGACGCCGGAGGUUACUCUCAGUCCGCGGCAUUCUUUGGUGCCAGACUCGGCGCUUAGUCCCAGAAAUUCUCUGGUGCCGGACGUGGCCUACAACCGAAGUCCUCGGAACAGCAUGGUGGCGAUUGGCGCUUCUAGAACCUCCCUUUUACCGGAAAACGGAAGUGCAAUCGCGGCGGCCAGCCGCAGCCCCAGGCACUCGUUGGUGCCGGACUCGACUAGAAGCCCGCGAGGCAGCAUGGCAAACUUAGAUUUCGACCGAAGUCCGCGCGGCUCGAUCUGCCCGGAAAUGCACAGGACACCCAGAGGCAGUAUCACGCCUUUGGAGAUCGCGGAUAGAAGUCCUCGCGGUUCGAUAGCCUCCGAGUGCCUGAACCAAAGUCCUCGCGGCUCCAUCGCGCCCGAUCCCAACAGAUCGCCCAGAGGGUCGAUAGCGCCGGACCCGAAUCGGUCCCCUCGCGGAUCGAUAUGUCCGGAGAGCAACAGAAGUCCCAGAGGAUCAAUUACACCACACGAUCAAACGAAUCGAUCACCGCGCGGGAGCGUAGCCGUGAAUGACGUUGACAGACACUCGAGAGGUUCUCUCGGAGCCAUCAACGACGACGUAAAUAGGAGUCCCAGAGGGAGCGUUGGGCCUGACGGGAUCGAUAGGAGUCCUAGAAGUAGCCUCGGUGGACAUCAGGAUAGAAGGGCGCCGAGAGGUACUCUGGCUUUGCAGGAUCCUAGAAGAGCUUCCGCGGAUCAGGGGAGCACGAGAAACCGAAGUUCCUCGCCUUAUCGCCAAAGAGAAGUGAGCUCGGGAAGCGUCAGGUCGGGCGGAAGUGGCGGCGCACAGGUCAAUCUGGGAUAUGGAAAUGCCUGGGCCGACUCCAGGCGAGCAAGCAGCUCCGUUUCGCAGCUUUCAGGAGAUGAGUCACGCCGGCUUUGCGCCAGUGGCGCGAAAGUCCCUGAAAAGGGCGACACGGAAGCUGCGAAUCUCGGCGUGGCAACCUACGGCUCGGUAGUGUUUCAGCUGAAAGACGCCCACCUCGAAGCGAACGGCAUUUGCGACUUUGUCUUUCGCGCUUUACGAGUCAUCAGCAAAACGAUGACGUUCACCAUAUGUCUGACCUGUUUGUCCACUGUGCCUAUCUUGAUGUUCAUCUUUGGUGUGCAAUUCAUCAAGGAUUGUCCGAAAGAACCAUACCUUCCGGUAUACAUGUUAAUUGGAGGAGCUCUGGGAGCUGUGCGUAUGUUCUGGGCGCUUUAUUCGCAGAUACGCUCCCGGAGGCCGGAAGUCUUGUCCGUUCCCGCCGCUAGACCAUAUAUCUCGCCUAUGAAAUUACUCUCCAUAGUUUUGUCGUGCUUCCUGGUAGUGUGGUUUGUGUUAGGACAUUACUGGAUACUACAUAUAAUGUGGCCGGAAUACGAACUUUCGCUGUAUGCGCCCAAUAGAUGGUGUAACAAGACGCUUUAUAUUUUUUCUUUAGUUCAUCUGUGCGUGAUGUAUGCGGUUUUAUUUGUGAUACUAAUGGUAGCAGUCGGUCUGGCUUCCUGCAGAAUUCUAGAAUGCCCUUUACCAGAAAGAUAUAGAAAGCGACAAUUCCAACCAAGACUAAUUAUCCUAAAAAUUUUUAAAAUGGGAGAAUAACUUAAAUGUUACACGAAUUUCCGAAAAUACGAAUGUGUCUCAUAAUGAAAAUAAUGCGCGAUGUUAACCUGAAUUCUUGUAGAAUAGAACAAUGGAAACUAUUUUACGACGGGGCGAGAUCGACGAUGAAAAAUAUUUCGUCUCGGCGCCACCGCGUUUCAAUUUGCGUAUAUUAUUAUAAGUGCUCGAUACAUUUGGAGAGCUGAGUAGCACGGAUCACGUAACGUGCGGCUCGUAUAAACGCACACCGAUCAUAUUCCUAUUGUCGGCGAAAUGCGAAUACCGUUCGCAGCUCGGGUUGCGUGUUCAACAUGAUAACGACGUGAUUAGAGUAUUUGCGGCGAUUACAAGGGAUACAUAAAAAAAACUUUGCAAAAAAAUAACUGUACCGUAUCGCGAUUUGGCCGUUUGUAUUCCCAGCACGAAUAGCAUACACAAAAUGGCAAAUGCUUAAUUCGUCGAAAAUCGUGCCAUGUAGCCGUCUAAAAGAAAUUAUAAUUCUUGAGUCACAAAUACGAAUCCGAUAAUAUCCCACACUCAAUCUAUGUCAAAGCGUCUAUACACAUUAAAAAUAAAAUAAGAUAAAGUAAAUUUUAUAUAUUAUACAUAAGGCGAUGAACCCGCGAUCGAUAAGAGCACACUCACGCUCCAAAGCGCGCCCGUUCUGCUCGACUUUCAGAUACAAAUAACCACGGCGAUCCGUUCGCCAGAAUAAAAUUCGUGAGAAGAAGAAGUUGGCGAUCUGCGGCAGGGGUGGCGGCUGGCGUCUAGAUAGACGUAAGGUCCUGGAGGACUUGCAGGAGGAGGACGACGGCGACGAGCAGAGCAACGACGCCGACGCGGACGAGGACAAUUGCGGUAAUAAGAUCGUGCAGGAGGUGAAGUAUUGCAGCAAAGUGCAGUUUCGCGCGCCGGAUAUCAUCGAGCUGUAAUGAAUAAGCGAUAACGCGAUGGAGGAAGAAGCGAGGGAUGACGUUUCGUCCCGCCAGGGGCAGCAGGACUUCGUGGAGGGAUGCCGGCGGAAGAGCGAUUCGUAAUCUUAAAAAGUUCUGCGCGAUAACGAGAACGCUGGCUGCGAGAGUGAGAUUUCGCGAAAGGGUGAGGGGCGAGGGGCGGAGGUGGACGGAAAAGGAGAACAGAUAACGAGAUCGCAAAAGGAAAGCACCGCCGGAGGUCGACGGCGGUGUAUCGCUUUCGUGAAUAAUCGGGGUCUCGACUCCGACACGUGCGAGAUCCCGAGAUGGAGCUUUCGCAUUUUCUGCACACGGUAAAUCCACGUGUCGGAAGUAUAUCAGUGAAAAUCCAGAUCGAUUGCGAAGAAAUUCAUCCGGUAAAGCGAAUACAAUGAAAUCUAUAGUAUCACGUAAUUGUGAUGCGACUCAUUUAAUCCAAUUGAUUUGUGAAAUACGGCAAGAAAGAUAGCGUGACGCAAUUACAUAGAAGCCACGUUCAAUGCACGAUGAACACCGACCAUUUUCAAUAUAUCGAUCACUCAAUUCUUUCAAAACAUAAAUUAAAAUAUUUACAUCAAAUUUUUAUCGUUGUAUUCAAUUUUGGAGAAAUAUGCGGCAUUCGACAUAGAGAGUUUGCAUAAUUUUGCGGUGAAUUCGGACUCGAUAUACGAAGAAAUACGCCUAACACAAUAGCGGCGAAGGAAAACAAAAUAAAACUUUUAUUAAUAAAAGAAAGCGGUCUCUCUCUUUCUCUCUCUCUCUCUCUCUCUCUCUCUCUCUCUCUCUCUGUAAGAAUGACAUUGCAGUUGUGGAAACAGAGAAUAUUUCCCAAAAGAAUUUCGUUUUGCGCCGCAGUUUUGAUAUACGUCGUGCUAUACAGCUGCGGUUUGGUAAAGAAAUCGAUAUGAAAACCACCAUGAAGUACUCGUAUCAAAACAGGAAUCUCUAAUUCGCCGUUUGCGCAAACAGCGCGUUCUCUCUAUCUCUCUUUUGCACGUCAAUUGAAUGCAGAAAUCGGAUUUUAAAGCACGUAGAUAGCUUAAUGGAAUUAACAUGGCCCAGCGAUAUAUUCUUCUUCUCCUGGAAAUGCUCGCCGAGGAACCCUACGUCGUUUUAAUACCGAUUCAAUGUGAGUAAUUGCUGGAUUCGCAGCCAUCGAUCUUUCGAUUCUUUUAAUUCGCCUGACGACGUAGAAGCCUAUUGAUUUUCUCCUGUUUUUACCGCCUACAAGCAAGAAAAUAAACGAGAAAGUACAAAAGGAAAUAUGUUCUUCUAACAUUUUCUCCUACAUAAUUUUGAGAAGUUUUUUUUUUUAUGACAAAUAUUUCUGAAUAGAGAAUUCCUAGAAGAGUUUUUGGCAGUUGAAAACCCAAAGGUCCCCGAAUUUCAUUAGUUUUCGCCCGGGUCCACCCGCGUAAGAAACACGCCGCGUGACAAGCACGUGAUGAAGCUCCGUUUGAAGAUCACGCAAAGUUGCAGAAAAUUCACGGAAAUCUUGCAACCGCAGUUUUACCACGUGUAACGCUUCCUGUGAAGUUGCGGUUCACUCAAACGCGAAGAACUCGCGACUUCGCAAAAUUCCGAAUUACUUUCCAACUCGUGCAGGAGUGAAAAAUCUGAACGAAAAAGGAGGGGAUAACCGCCAAGCAGGAAAAAACGAAGCCAGGUAUCGACUUAUCGAACCACGACGACAACGACGACGUGUUCCUGCCGGUCGAACCGACGCGCAAAUCCGCUUCAUCGAAUCAAGUCUGAAAGUAGUUACAGUGACUGCGGCAACUGCGUUCCUCCAUGACGCAAGUGAUAUCGAAACUUUACUCCCCGAUUAUUCGAUAUUCCCUCUCGCAAAGGUGUUUUUUUUUUCGUCCGCGUGUGGGAAAUAUGGAAUUUAAUGCUCGUUCGCGAGAAUACAGCUGCAAUUCGGCGACAUGUCAAAGUUUCUGAUCGUUUCUCAUUAUCUUUCGGUAGUAUCGAGCGUUGACUUCAGGUACUCCAGAGGUACAAUGGCGAUGUCUCGAGGACUUAUGAAUGAAACUCCUUACUACGGGUCCAGGCUACGGGCCGAGAAGAAGAGAGUCCUACCAUCUGGUCAGUUCGAUUCACUAAGAGAAUAAUAACGGCCUCUCUCUCGAAGAUCAUUGAGUCCGGCGGCGAUUCCAACGGGACCGAGAAAUUUUCAUGCCUAAUUUACGGUGCUUCAAAAAAGACGGAGAAUCCGUGCACAAGAAUGCCCUGGACGCAGCGCGGACACGUGUUUCACGGAAUCAAUGAAAGGUCGCGUUCACUCUGCCGGAAAUCCGACUGUCGUCCUCUCGCCAGGACUUCGCGACGGAGGGCGCGGUCGGUUAUCGAUUUCGUAUUAGCGCACGUAGAUCACGAGCGAAGAAAAUUCUCGUAAAUUUACGUCGGACUGGAGCAGCGUGUUUUUUGACGUGUUUUCUUUUUUUUUUCUCGCGUUUAUAGUCGCGACGUUAUAUACGCUGCUUCGUGCUACCGCCCACGCCUUUUACGGUCUGCGCGUAAAAGCUGCUACCUUCUUUUAUCCUUUAUUAAUAACCUAUUAGAAUGAUGGUAGUGUAAAUCGUGAUGCUGAAGAAAAUGCGAAGUUUCAUGUGCCAUAAAUUUUUAGCCAGUUAACCGCUUGGAUAAAAAACAUUUUUUAUUUAAAUAAGAAAUUUUUCACGUGCAAUAAAUAUGUCGAAAUGAUAUCGCGAGCAUGUUAAAAAGACGCCCUAAUUUUUAAGAUGUUCUUUAGAUAGCUUUUUAUUUCUCAAUUUACGUCACGUUAUAUAUUCUAUAUUAGGCGUGCAUAGGUAUAUAUCCAUUUAUUCCUCCACGUCUAAUAUAAUUAAUGACUUAUAAAAAUUUACUUACGCGAUUCACUAUACAUUUACGAAUAUCGAUUUCAUAUUAGAGAGCCAUGUCCUCGAUAUUUCCUUUGUGACUUCAACCCUUUCAAGGCCGGUGAUCGUAGAAAGAUACGUGGGUGUCAGGUGCCAUCGUAUGAAAGAUCGAUCUCCUCAUUUAAUUCGUCGUUAGUGGCAGGUGGAUGCGAUUUAUAACAAUACCGCAGACAGGUUCUUCGACGCCAUAACGAAGACAAGUAAACACCAGAUAUAUAUGUCGACAGUCGUCAAGAGAUCAAUUCCUUGUGGAGUUUCUAGUUUAGUUUUAGGAAAGUACAGCUCUUCCUGCGAUGCGCAAUAUCUACAUUUGAUGUUUGUGUAAAAGUUGAUAUAUUGAAACCAGAUAAAAGUAAUUUUUAACGAUCAUUCUUGCAAUUCGAAAUAUUGCACAUUAUCGCAAUUUAAUGAAUGCAAAGCCCUCUCUGCGAUAUUUGAUCUUUUAAUUUCUCGCCUAUCCCAUCCCAAUAAAGAAAAAUUAAGAUUGCUUUUCUGCAAAAAACGAGAUUGCGUUUUAUAUUCCUGUGGUAACACAAUUUUACUUCAAUUACCUUUUUUUCCAAUCGCCCUCGAUUUUUCGCUGUAUAAAGAGUAAAGAUCCAUAACAACCUUCUGCUUGAAAAAAGUAUUACUUGGGCCUUUUGUUCUUUUAAUAUGCUAUACGUCACUCGAGAUUCGCCCAUAUCAGUAAGACAGGAAACAUGGUAACCCCGAGAUGCAGAAGCGAUUUUAUCGAGAAUAUAUCGUUCUUUUUCUGUCGCGGGAAAAAUUUCACGCGAGAGUAUACCCGUGGGGAUUACGCAAAUCGAUUUACUCGGCGGUAGUCGUGGCAAAAAAAACACGGAAUUCUUUUUGUCGUGUGGCAAGAAUUUCUUUCAAACGCACGAGCGUCGGGCGGACGCGAAUCGAAAAUAUAUAUCGGAGGGUCGCCGCAGUGUCAGAAUAGAGAAGCUUUAUCAAUUUCCGCCCUUUGUCACCGGACGACUCGUCUCGUGAAACCACGAUCGGCUGAGCUGCCGUUAAAACUGACCCCCCCCCCCCCGGUCUUCCUUUACCGAUGGAAAUUGCAUCAUGUGCGGAAGCGUAAAACCAAUCCAAAAGACGCGCCGACGCGCCGUGUCGCAUCGCGACGCCCUUUUAUCGCAGGUCGCCCAUCGUGCUUAAUUGUUGGCUUUAUAUAUAAAAUGCGUCGCACGCUACAUGUAUUUCAUCCUGAUUAAUCGCCGAAAGCACAAGCGGAAAUUAACGUGGGUAUAAAGCGCGCUUCAUGAAACAAUUUUUUUAGAUUUUUUAUCUUUAUUAAAUCCACGGAUAAUAUUAUUUUUGCGUAAAUUUUAAAGGUGUCACUUGGUAUGCUAAACAAAAAUUUGUUACAAAAUAGAGCGUGUUACGAAAUAAAUUUAAACGUGAAAAAAAUUAAAACGUGCAAGCAUUUUGUUAAAUAGUGGAUGCUUCUUUACUUGUUAAACAGUUUUAUAAUUAAACAACAAAUCAAAUUCCUAUUUAAAUGACCUCAGCUUUAUUUGCCCCUAAAAAUAAUGUGUAAACAUUUUUACUUGAAAAUUGUUCCACUGAAAACAAGAUAAGUUUCUUCGUACAAAUAAAGCCAAGUGUGAAUUACGAUAGUAUGGUUCUAAAAUAAAACACGAUUCUGUAUUUCUUGUUAACCUAGGAUUUUUGUUAGAUAUAUAGCCGACAUUUAGCUCGUAGACGAGAGAUAACAAUAUGUCACGCUGUAGCGCCGGCAUGUAUCCGCGAAAAGAAAUGAUCCGCUUUAAAAAUACCUUCAACCGUUUUCUUUGUCGAGUUGGCUACUCGUUCGCAAACCGCGCCCUAGUUUGUACCUUUUUUGUUACAAACUCCAAAUAACGUUUACAGAAAUUGCACCGAGCAAAGCACACGAGACGAAACUUACAAUAGAAGAAUCACAACUUUCCUUUCGACAAUAGGUUUAUAUAUCGUCACAAAUUUUUGAAGUACAUAUAUGAAUUCUACACAAAUAUCACUUUUAAAGUGGCCGCAGUUAAUUUAUUGUUGAAAUAAAGAAAAAAA